rnacentral:rRNA from 1 species
GACGAACGCUGGCGGCGUGCUUAACACAUGCAAGUCGAACGGAAAGGCCCUGCUUUUGUGGGGUGCUCGAGUGGCGAACGGGUGAGUAACACGUGAGUAACCUGCCCUUGACUUUGGGAUAACUUCAGGAAACUGGGGCUAAUACAGGAUAGGAGCUCCUGCUGCAUGGUGGGGGUUGGAAAGUUUCGGCGGUUGGGGAUGGACUCGCGGCUUAUCAGCUUGUUGGUGGGGUAGUGGCUUACCAAGGCUUUGACGGGUAGCCGGCCUGAGAGGGCGACCGGCCACAUUGGGACUGAGAUACGGCCCAGACGCCUACGGGAGGCAGCAGUGGGGAAUAUUGCACAAUGGGCGGAAGCCUGAUGCAGCAACGCCGCGUGCGGGAUGACGGCCUUCGGGUUGUAAACCGCUUUCGCCUGUGACGAAGCGUGAGUGACGGUAAUGGGUAAAGAAGCACCGGCUAACUACGUG